UCUAACUCUAAUAUUUAUAUACAAAUAACACCAAUAUUUAUCUACAAAUAAAAUAAAGUAACCAACAGUAGUCAUACUCUAGAUAAAAACAAUAAAAUUCAAGUCAAUAUUCAUAAGCAGUAGAUAUAAGAAAAAACGUAAAAUUAAAAGGAGGUCACAGGGUUGUUACUUUUCUGAGCAGAUCUGGAGAUGGCGAUGUUGUUGUUGGCACAAAAGCUCCGAGCUCACCGGAACUCGAACUCGUGCUUGUGGGAUUUGAGUUGUUGGCGGAGUCCUCGUCGGAGUUUCGUGAGGCUGCUGCCUGCUAUUGCUUGCGGUGCAGAGACGGGAGGAGUGGAGGAGCUGCUGGUCGGCGCUGCCUUCGCUGGAGCUGCUGGCUGUUCUCGGAGAUGGUUGUUGGUUGUUUUCAGACGGUGGUNNNNN
rnacentral:lncRNA from 1 species